UACGAAGGGGGCUAGCGUUGUUCGGAAUUACUGGGCGUAAAGCGCACGUAGGCGGAUACUUAAGUCAGGGGUGAAAUCCCGGGGCUCAACCCCGGAACUGCCUUUGAUACUGGAGAGCUUGAGUCCGGGAGAGGUGAGUGGAACUGCGAGUGUAGAGGUGAAAUUCGUAGAUAUUCGCAAGAACACCAGUGGCGAAGGCGGCUCACUGGCCCGGUACUGACGCUGAGGUGCGAAAGCGUGGGGAGCAAACAGG
rnacentral:rRNA from 1 species